CCUAAUCCCUACCAUGACUGUUAGGUCCAUGUUAUGUUGGUUGACAAAACAUGAACAUAAAGUUUGAGUCUUGAGUAUUUUAGUAGCUCGACACCUAUCAAAUGAUUGAAACAAGAAAACUGCCAGAAUUGGUCUUCAUAUUCUCCUUGGAGGCAUCCGUGCUCAACAGUCGCGGUUUUCCUUCGCUUUGGUAGAGCACUGUUAAAUGCAAUUGGUAAUUUAGAGCUCACUGGUGCUUAUGCAGAGGCUUUGAGAAACCUAGGACACAAAUUAGAACAUGUGGCUAUCCAGCUAAUUUUCUUUGGUUGACUAAUUGUAGGAGCCCGAUGCUGCACUUGGUAAUGGGGGUCUUGGGCGGCUUGACUCCUGUUUUUAGGACUCUUUGGCAACAUUAAAUUACCCAGCCUGGGGUUAUGGACUUAAAUACAAGUAUGGUUUGUUUAAGCAGCAAAUUACAAAAGAUGGGCAGGAGGAAGUUCCCGAAGAUUGGCUUGAGAUGGGCAACCCUUGGGAAAUUGUGAGAAAUGAUGUCUCAUAUCCUAUGAAAUUCUAUGGCAAGGUUGCUUCUGGA